GACGAACGCUGGCGGCGUGCCUAAUACAUGCAAGUAGAACGCACAGUUUAUACCGUAGCUUGCUACACCAUAAACUGUGAGUUGCGAACGGGUGAGUAACGCGUAGGUAACCUGCCUGGUAGCGGGGGAUAACUACUGGAAACGAUAGCUAAUACCGCAUAAUAUUGAUUAUUGCAUGAUAAUUGAUUGAAAGAUGCUAUUGCAUCACUACCAGAUGGACCUGCGUUGUAUUAGCUAGUAGGUGAGGUAACGGCUCACCUAGGCGACGAUACAUAGCCGACCUGAGAGGGUGAUCGGCCACACUGGGACUGAGACACGGCCCAGACUCCUACGGGAGGCAGCAGUAGGGAAUCUUCGGCAAUGGACGAAAGUCUGACCGAGCAACGCCGCGUGAGUGAAGAAGGUUUUCGGAUCGUAAAGCUCUGUUGUAAGAGAAGAACGGGUGUGAGAGUGGAAAGUUCACACUGUGACGGUAUCUUACCAGAAAGGGACGGCUAACUACGUG
rnacentral:rRNA from 1 species